GAGUGGAAGGUGCAUGGCCAGUGCUUGUGGGUAUGGUGGUGCUGAGUGAGCCUGGCCAGUGCUGCUCUCUGCGAUGGCUGGGCCAGGCUUGCCCUUGCUUGGACAACACUUGACUCAGGGAUGUGGCUGGCUCAUCCGUGGGGUCCAUGGGACCAGCUGGGCCAAAAGACAUGCUUUUGUAGGUUUGCUUCCAUCUCAAGUCAGAAGCUUGUUUUGUGCAGCUGGACACAACACAGCAUGGAGUCUGGCAGAGCUUGCUUUUCUCUCCGUCCUGGAACAGCCUAUGCUUCUAUCACAGUUUGUCACAUCAGAAACAAGAGGUGUGCAUGGUAUCUGCCAGAUAGCACAAGUAUUUCACUUCCUGCAAUCAAAGAGCAGGGUCUCAACAGAAGUGAAAAUCCAGCCUUUUGCUCUGAAAACUGAGUGGGACUAGCUCAAAACUCAAGUUCCUGCUGAGCUGGGGACAACUGGCCCAGUCACUUCACAUGGGAGCAGCAACCGCUUGAGGAAGCAAAUUGCUUCUAUUGCACCUCGACACAGACAAGUGCAAGUCGCCUGGUGGCAAUUAAAGGGAGCCAAACUUUAACUUUCCUGUGAAAAUAUGUUGUCUUUACACAAUCACAAAGGAAUUCCAUUAGGAAGCAGAUACAGACCACAGAAAAGCUCUGUGCUUCUCCAUAAGUUUCCUAAAACCCAAGGAGGUGCACGGCCCACACCCAACUGGCUGAGGGCUUCUGGUAGAUGGAGUUUUCUUCUAGUCCUCUGUUUUGACAAACUACCCUCUUAGAGAUGGCUGCAAGAUCCCUUUUUCAACAAGGUGAGAUUUCAGGAUUUUAUAUACACUUAAUUGUUGUUCAGGCUGAAGUAUCAACAGCUGUUUCAGUAAUUUGCUGGGAUUGGGACCCCUGUCAAUGAAAAAAAGAAAUUUUUUUUGUGACCACAGCUCUAAUGAGUCUUUUAGAUUUCUUCUUGCUGCCCAAACAAUGCCUUCCCUUUCUUGAGGGCACCAAGUUACAGAUUUCUCUCAGUCUGUCUCCUCAGGAUGCAUGGGCCAGCAUUAUUGGCAAAGCAUACUCUUAGCUAAAUAUAAACAGAAACUAAAAAGCAUUUCUAUUUGCUGUCAAAUGGGGAUAUUGAGAAGGUUUAUGAUAAAAGAUGAAUCAAGAAAUCUUAUUUAUCACUGUAAUAAUUUUUUAUUAGCAGAUCUUUAUUUAGUAUCUGUUGCCUGCCAGAUAAGCUAUGUACUACUGAACUAAAUGGGAAAUUGGCCAAGUCAGUAAAGAAAACUGCAAAUUAAACCAAACUUUUCUAAAUAUCAGCCUCAUUUUUAGCUAGCCACUUACAAUCUACGUCUAAGAUGAACCAAAUAUAAGGCAAAGAAUCUGUUGCUGAUUAGGUAUCUAAUAAUUAUUUAGCAAUAUGCAUUCACAAAACUAAGGGCAUGUCUUGAUUUGGCCUCUUGAACCACCUCUGCCUCAGAAACUAAAAUGUCUGUUAUAAGAGAAUUGUGAUUCCCAUGAUUUCAUCUUGAAAGCUGAUGUGGUUAAGGGAAGAUGAGCAAUAUUUUAGGAAGUUGUCUCCUUUCUUUCACUAUAGGGUUUUCGUCUUAAACAGAAAAUCCCAAGGCAAGCAAUUGAGAAAUACUGAAACUCAUGGGAAGAACUGUGGUCUCAGCCUACAGGCUCUUUAGGAACCACACAGGGAAAGCAAAUGCUGCACAACCCUCCUGCCUGAAACCCCAUCCUACGCCUUUCUGUAAUCAGUAAAUUCUAAUCAAACUUCUGAUAGUUUUGUGUAGCAGGCUUUCUUGUAUUUCAGGUACACAGGUUACCUUCAACAGCAAUCCCAGAAACAUUCAGGCAUAAUUUGAAUCCGACAAAUCCUAGGUAGGGACACUGUCUUCUUAAUAGUCCUGUAUUUGAAGUGACUGAAUAAAUCCUAUUUAGCAACCUGCAAUCUCUGCUAUGUAUUCAUAACUCCUAUGCAUUUAUUAUGGCACAGCUCCUGUGCAUGUUUCAAUAGUUAAUAUUGUAAAAAAAUCCAUACCUUAUGAAACUGGUGAUAUAGACAUGAACAAAAGUGGCCAUCAGGUACUGACAAUCAAAGCGAUCCAUUAUCCCACCAUGCCCUGGGAUUGUGUCUGCAAAAUCCUUUUGGGUGUGAAGGACAAGAAGGGGAAAAAGAGAGAAAAAAAAAAGAUGGUCAGUGGUUCCCGUGAAAUACACAAAUGAUGUUAUCUCUUGGCAGCAGCACAUUAGGGCUGAAAGUAAGCCAGGGUUCCACUGCCUGGAGCCAAAAGUUAGCAAGAGGCUCCUUUGCUAAAGGAGUUUUUAACCGCAAAGGCAAGCCAAGGAGUGAGAAGAAAAAGAAGAGAAGCAGCAAUUUGUCCACAUUUCACACAAGAGGACAGUAGUAGGUCAGGUGCAGGUAUGCCACUACUAAGAAUGCUUGUGUGCCUAUACACAUUUAAUUUUGUAGCAAACCUCUUAAGCUGCUGGCUGUUGUUUCUUGCCUCUGCAGAAUCUAAUUCUCCUCUUUAAGACUUUUUUUGUUUUAUCCUCUGCCAUAAUUAAAAACCAUAAUAUGUGCAAACAAUAAAAAUUUAUUUAACAGAAUCAAAAAACACACUGUGAAAAAAUGAUCACUACUUAAAAAUAUAUUUCUGUUGCAAACAAAGCUUGAUACACUACCUUUGUGUUACCUAGCUUGUCUAUAGAACAGCUUUAUCAGUCAAAAUACCGUCAGACAUCCUUUCUGUCAGCCACACUCACUCAUGUCCUCUCUGAGUGAAAACCCUGACCUUAGUCACGUGGGGUGACUGCCAGCAAGUAAAACUUGUUCUGCCCAGUGUGGGGCAGGCAUGGAGUGCCUUCAGCAACAAUUCCACAACAUCCCUGACUUCUGACUGUCCUUCAGACAGUCCUCUGACAGUCAUCUCUAGGGGGCCCAGAAGUUUUAAAAGGAAUCUACUUUUUUACUUAUCUACUUUAACAAUAAGUGCUGCUUUCCAGCAACAUUUUUUUCAUCACAAAUUCCUUCUUCGCACAAACAGUGUUUUGCUAUGUGGCUGUACAGGUAUUAGAGUGCUGUGGCCAGCAAAGUGCUGGGCAAGCUGCUGGGACCAGCACGAGAAAGAAGGGUAAGUACAAGCACAUGUACAGAGUUCAGCACAAACAGAGAGGUUUACACACUUCUGUGCAAAGCACAUGCCAGCUUGGCGGACAUAUGGAACGACAACAUGAACAGCAACAAGCAACAGGGUAAGAAUUACAGCAGUCCUACCAAGACAUAAAGAAGGUCGGGAGAAAUUUGGGGCUGCCCUCUUGCCAUACUCCUGCUGCCAUUUAAUACCAGCCAAGGACAGCAUUGCCACAAGCGACAGCGCACACCUUGCAAUAAACAGAGGGUAGCAGGUCACAUAAUUUGCUGGUACACGCUCCUGUUACAAGGCAGAUGUUUGGAAAAGGCAGCCAAACAUCUCAUGCUUUGGUGAGCCUGACGCACCAGCAUCUGCCUGUGACACCAAUGCCACCCGUAAAAACCAGCCAGCCAAAAUGUGAAGGGUAAACCACUGUCAGCACUUCUGAGGUGUCUACAGAUUGCCCUUCAUGUCAAGUAUAAUACCUCACAUCUUGCUUGUCUAAACCACUUCUGCAACACGAUUUGGAAGAGUAACUAUUGUCCAAACUAUGCAACCAAAUUAUUCUUAGAUUUCCAGCACUGAAGUCACAUGCUGACUAGGCAAAAUUUAAAGAAUAUCACACACGCACACCUGAUAAAACUGAGUCCCGUUUCUGAUACUAAAAACCAGCCAAAACAUUGUUGCAACUUAUUAGAAAUACAACUACAAUGAAGGACUAAAAAAACCCCUAACCCACCAAUUUAUCUAAUCCAAAGAGAAAAACAAAAGAAGGCUUACAGGAUUCAUUACAUACCUUGAUUUUGAAAGCUCUUUUAAAUCCACUGGCAAAGAAUCCUCCAAAUGGCCCAAUUAAUGAGGCAAAUGUUGACAGUGCAAAGCUGUGCAUCUGGAAUGGGUACAUAUUCACUGUUUCCUACAAGAAAAAUAAUUAACACUGUGUUUCAAUAUGUUUUAUUGUAGACAUUUUUAGCUUACAUAUUUAAAGGGUCGGCGAGUAUAUUACAUGUAACUAUUGCUGGUAGUACUUUUUCACACAGCAUGGAAGUAAUGGCACUAACACACAGGAUUCUGCAUGGUGAAGAGAGUAAAACUCCAAUCCUAAAAGCAGUUACACACUAGCUGAAAAGAGAAUGAAGUUCUACAUGCUUACUUCAGCUUGCCACUAAUUCAGGCCAUAACAAGCCUUUGUCCACUUCCCACAAAAAAUUCAAAGGUUGCUCUUCAAAAAUAAGUUUGCAAAAUGCUUAAGCAGCAUCCACGUGCAGCACAAAGAGAACACAGGCAGGUUCCCUCAGGUGACUCCAGCGGUGAUUCUGACUGGGUGACCACAUCCCCUGUAUGAGCAAUGCAGGGGAUCAUGGUAUUGACUCAGUUCGUAAUGUUAAGCUUUACCAACCUUCAGAUAACCUUCUAAAAUGAUUUGGAAAUCCAUUUAAGCUGGGAAGUAUGAUUCCAAUUUCAACUAAAGCCUGUUUGUUUUUUUUCUCUUACCCAUCCCAACACAGCCUGAAGCAAUGGUGGCACAGAGUACGUCUUCAUAUGGAAGAGCUCUGAAGGUUCACACUCUGUCACAAAUCUGUUGGUUUCACUGUUGUAUUCCACAGGGCAGACAAAGUACUGAUGUUGAGCCAAAAAAUAAGAAAA